UGCCAGCCGCCGCGGUAAUACGAAGGGACCUAGCGUAGUUCGGAAUUACAGGGCUUAAAGAGUGCGUAGGUGGUUGAAAUAGUUGGUGGUGAAAUCCCAGAGCUUAACUCUGGAACUGCCGUCAAAACUUUUCAGCUAGAGUAUGAUAGAGGAAAGCAGAAUUUCUAGUGUAGAGGUGAAAUUCGUAGAUAUUAGAAAGAAUACCAAAUGCGAAGGCAGCUUUCUGGAUCAUUACUGACACUGAGGAACGAAAGCAUGGGUAGCGAAGAGGAUUAGAUA
rnacentral:rRNA from 1 species